UGGGGAAUAUUGCACAAUGGGCGAAAGCCUGAUGCAGCAACGCCGCGUGAAGGAUGAAGGCCCUCGGGUUGUAAACUUCUGUUGGAUGGGAAAAAAAGCCGCAAGGUCUUGAUGGUACCAUUCGAGUAAGCACCGGCUAACUACGUGCCAGCAGCCGCGGUAAUACGUAGGGUGCAAGCGUUGUUCGGAAUCACUGGGCGUAAAGAGAGCGUAGGCGGGAUUGUAAGUUAGGAGUUUAAUGCAUGGGCUUAACCCAUGAUCUGCUUUUAAUACUGCAGUUCUUGAGUAUGGGAGAGGGUGAUGGAAUUCCAGGUGUAGCGGUGGAAUGCGUAGAUAUCUGGAAGAACACCAGUAGCGAAGGCGGUCGCCUGGCCCAAUACUGACGCUGAGGCUCGAAAGCUAGGGGAGCAAACAGG
rnacentral:rRNA from 2 species